GACGAACCGUGCGAACGUUGUUCGGAAUCACUGGGCUUAAAGGGCGCGUAGGCGGCUGACCAAGUCUGGGGUGAAAUCCUGCAGCUUAACUGUAGAAGUGCCUGGGAUACUGGUCGGCUCGAGGGAGGUAGGGGUCUGUGGAACUGCUGGUGGAGCGGUGAAAUGCGUUGAUAUCAGCAGGAACGCCGGUGGCGAAAGCGACGGACUGGAUCUCUUCUGACGCUGAGGCGCGAAAGCCAGGGGAGCGAACGGG
rnacentral:rRNA from 1 species